rnacentral:rRNA from 1 species
AUUGAACGCUGGCGGCAGGCCUAACACAUGCAAGUCGAGCGAGCGGCGGACGGGUGAGUAAUGUCUGGGAAACUGCCUGAUGGAGGGGGAUAACUACUGGAAACGGUAGCUAAUACCGCAUACCAUCAGAUGUGCCCAGAUGGGAUUAGCUAGUAGGUGGGGUAAUGGCUCACCUAGGCGAUGAUCCCUAGCUGGUCUGAGAGGAUGACCAGCCAAACGGGAACUGAGACACGGUCCAGACUCCUACGGGGGGCAGCAGGGGGGAAUAUUGCACAAGGGGCGCAGGCCUGAGGCAGCCAUGCCGGGUGUAUGAAGAAGGCCUUCGGGUUGUAAAGUACUUUCAGCGAGGAGGCGUUACUCGCAGAAGAAGCACCGGCUAACUCCGUGCCAGCAGCCGCGGUAAUA